ACUCACGAGUUUCCCAACACUGAUUGCACAUUGAACAGAUUACUCACAAUAUUAGUAUGUAUGCUCGUUGCUGAUGAUUUAAAACAACAUGCCCUAUCUUAGCGAGCUAUGCGUUUAUUGAGCUGACGUAGUAAUUGCAAUUAACUGAACAUCAAUGGUUUCGUCACAACCGGCCUCUAUUUGUGCGUAUGAAAUCAAUCAAUGCACACACAUGGUUAGUUAUUGGUUUUCAUUGGGUACUUACCACUUUCUGUUCAAUGCAACUGUAUCAGCGCUGGUGAAGGUUAAAUUAAUAAUAUAAAACACCUCCGCACAGCUGCCUACUAUAGUCAAAACUAUUUUUAUCUUCGUGGAGAUAAGAAGUUUGUGCUGCGGAAAGCAUCAACAUGAAGAACUUACUAGUCUUCACUAUAAUCUUUGUAUUAUCGGGAGUAGUGUUUAGUGGUGACUUGAGUUCCAAUAGUGAUUCCAAAGUACUACAUCAAGAAAAUUCUCGAGAAUUGAGGCAUAUUGGCGCAAACGGAUAUGUAUAUGGAUACAUGUCCCCUUAUGUUGGAUAUUAUCCACCACAUCCUUAUCAUGUUCAACCCUUAGGCAUCGUACCAGUUCCUAUACCUAUAUACGGAGGCGGAAAACACCAUAAAUCGAAGAAACAUUCAUAUGGACUCGUACCCCAUUACCCAUUGUAUUACUAGAGGUGAUCAACAUAAUAGCCUUGUUGAUUGUAAAAAUAACAUAAUUGUUAGUGCAUACUUUUAAAUUGAAGUUUUUAUUGUUCAACGUUUAUAUAGUAAUGAG
rnacentral:lncRNA from 1 species